rnacentral:ncRNA from 1 species
UUCAUCAGCAAUGGUGCGGGUGACGAGGCAGAAGUCAGCAGACGGCAUAGUAGUUGGAGGUCAUAGGAUAUGACCGAAGACGAAGGC